CUGUUCGCUGUCUCAUUUCCUUCCUCCGUGCGGCUCACUGUUUCUUUCUUUCGUCGCUCCAGAGAUGCCUCCCCCUUCCUCUUCCUCAUGCCGCAUCCCUCUUCCUCUUCCUCCCUCGUGCCGCACUCCCCUUCCUCCCUCUUCAUCUGCUUUUUCCUCCGAGGAUCCCACUCCGGCAAAAGAUCGCCGCCCUGGUGGUCAGUGCCUCCUCGUCGGCGUCGGCGUCGUUUAGGGUUCCUUCAAGGUCGGGGUCGUCUAGGGUUCCAUCAAGCUCCGUCAAGUUCGUCAUCUUCAAGAAGUAUUCCAUCGGUACAGCAGAGAGAGGACAAGGGGCUCAUCAAGGCACGCGGUGCUAGGAACUUCCAUUCGACGGCCCCACUGCUUAUUCGACAUCCUAUUUCAAAACAGUCGUGGUGAGCUCUUGGUCUGAGCUCAUGGUCCAUCGAUUUUUUUUCUAUGUAUAUAUCUGUGCACUGUAGGCCAGUGUUCGUUUUUUAAGUGAUAGUAGGUGAUGUGACUAUAGUUUUUGAUAUAGGACGUUAACCUAGUAAUACAAGAUGAAACUUGCAAGAUGUACACAUAUUAGGUUGAUACUUUUUGUUGAUGCCGAGGAAAAAAUAUUUGACUUGAAGAACAUUUUUAAACUUCAGAGAACAUUAUUUAUUAGGGAACAAUUUAGUGUUUUUUUAGAACAUUAUUGAAGGAACAAUAUUCAAGCAACAACAAAAAAUUCUUCACCCCAAGGAACAUUAUUCAACAAACAUUAUUCAAUUAUCAUCAGAGCAAUACUUGUCCCCCCAAAUAAUGUUCCUUUAAUAAUGUUCCCCAGUUAAAUGUUCAUUUUUUUAUUAACCAGGGAAUUAUAGUUCCCCUACAAUUUUUGCUGAUUAAUGUUCCUUUAAUAUGUUCCCCAAAUAUUGUUCAACUUUUUUGUUCCCCCAAUAAUGUUCCCUAAAUAAUGCUUCUUUAAUAUUGUUCUCCAAAAUGUUCCCCAAAUAAUUGUUAAUGCCGAGGAAAAAUUAUUUGACUUGAAGAACAUUUUUAAACUUCAGAGAACAUUAUUUAUUAGGGAACAAUUUAGUGUUUUUUUAGAACGUUAUUGAGGGAACAUUAUUAUAUUCAGAAUGCAGUAAAAAAAUUCCUUGAAGAAUGUUCCCUCAUUAAUGUUCCUUUAAUAAUGUUCCCCAAAUAAAUGUUCAAUUUCUUUUGUUCCCCUAUAAUGUUCUUUGAAGAAUGUCCCUUUAAUAAUGGUCUCCAAUUAAAUGUUUAUUUUUCUUGUCCCCCCAAUAACGUUCCCUGAAUAAUGUUCUCCAAAUAAUGUUCCCUCAUCAAUGUUCCCUUAAUAAUCUAAUUUUUGAUGUUCCCUCAACAAUGUUUGAACUAUUUUGUAAGUGCUAAGCAAUUUUUUAUUGAGGGAACAUUAUUCAUGGAACAAUUAUUUAUUCAAGCUUCGGAGAACAUUGUUCAACUAAUUUCUUUUGGCACCCAGGAACAUUUUGCAACGAACGUUAUCCAGGGAACAUUAUACAGUUAUCAUUAUUUUACAGAACACUAUUCAAGGAACAUUUUUUCUAGUGACAUUAUUUGUUGAUGCCGAGGAAAUAUUUAUUUGACUUGAAGAACAUUUUUAUACUUCAGAGAACAUUUUUUAUUUGAAGAACAUUUUAUUUUAUUUUUUAUUUGAGAACAUUAUCCAAUGAACAUUAUUCAAAGAACAAUUUUUUAUUGAGAAUCUAGUAAAUAUUUCUUCCAAGGAAAUUUAUAUACAACAUUAAGCAGCAAACUUCAAGGUUUUGUUUGCUGCCACAUUCGGAAAUUCUAGUUCUUUCAAGAUAGGAAACUUUGAAUCAAGAUUUGUACCAGCUCCCAAGGUCAAUUUCAGGUAUGACUCAGGAAUUUUCCUUCUUCAGUAUGUUAGCAAGUACAAAGGUCUCGGAUUGGAGGGGUUCUCUAAUGAUGAUUUACAAGCUCUACGUCAAAAUUCCUUUUUGAGAUUGUAACUUGCAAGGACAAUGAAAUUCAGCUGCCGUGAGUAACUUCUUUCCUGCAGAGACAUGGUCUCAUUAAUAUUGUCAACUUCAAGGGAAGUUGCACUGCAAGAUUCAACUCAAAGGAAUACUUCCAUGGGAAAAAUGUUUCCUUAUCGAUAGAGCUAUCUUUUUUUCUCUUGCUGGUCUAGUGAUAGUUUCUUCCAAGACCUUCAGCUGUAAACAAUGUCCGAAAACAGCUGAAGCAGUUUUAUAAACGAGCAGUAAGACAUGUACAUUUUUUUGUCUUUCAUGACGCCUUGGUGAUACUAUCAUCACUCAAUUUCAUCAA